rnacentral:misc_RNA from 1 species
GAUGAAGAACGUAGCGAAAUGCGAUACGUAAUGUGAAUUGCAGAAUUCAGUGAAUCAUCGAAUGUUUGAACGCACAUUGCGCCCGCUAGUAUUCUGGCGGGCAUGCCUGUCCGAGCGUCAUUUCAACCCAUCAAGCUUAGCGCUUGUGUUGGAGCCCUGCGGCCGCCGCAGCCUCCUAAAAUCAGUGGCGGGCUCGCUAUCACGCUGAGUGCAGUAGUAUUCUUCUCACUCCUGUGGUGUAGCGGGUAACCAGCCGUAAACCCCCCCAUCUAUAAAGGUUGACCUCGGAUCAGGUAGGAAUACCCGCUGAAUUUAAGCAUAUCAAUAAGCGGAGGA